rnacentral:rRNA from 1 species
AGAGCGAACGCUGGCGGCAGGCCUAAUACAUGCAAGUCGAACGGAUCCUUCGGGAUUAGUGGCGGACGGGUGAGUAACACGUGGGAACGUGCCCUUUGGUUCAGAACAACUCAGGGAAACUUGAGCUAAUACUGGAUAAGCCCUUCGGGGGAAAGAUUUAUCGCCAUUGGAGCGGCCCGCGUCUGAUUAGCUAGUUGGUAGGGUAAAGGCCUACCAAGGCUACGAUCAGUAGCUGGUCUGAGAGGAUGAUCAGCCACACUGGGACUGAGACACGGCCCAGACUCCUACGGGAGGCAGCAGUAGGGAAUCUUGCGCAAUGGGCGAAAGCCUGACGCAGCCAUGCCGCGUGAAUGAUGAAGGUCUUAGGAUUGUAAAUUCUUUCAGCGGGACGAUAAUGACGGUACCCGCAGAAGAGCCCGGCUAACUCGCGCCAGCAGCCGC